rnacentral:rRNA from 1 species
AUUCUGACUGUGCGAAGGUAGCAUAAUAAAUUGUCUUUUAAAUGGAGGCUUGAAUGAAAGGUUGGACAAAGUGUCAUCUGUUUCUUAAAUAUUUAUUGAAUUUGACUUUCAAGUGAAAAGGCUUGAAUAAAUUAAAAAGACGAUAAGACCCUAUAAAUCUUUACAAUAAACAUGUUUUAUAUUUUAAUUUAUAAGUUUAUAAAAUAUUAAAUUUGUAGUUGUUCCGCUGGGGCGGCGUGGAUAUAUUAAUAAACUGUCUAUAUAUUAAACUCAAUAAUCAUUGAUUAAUAAGAUUGAUCCUUAAAUAGAUUAAAAGAUUAAGAUACUUUAGGGAUAACAGCGUUAUUUUUUUUGAGAGUUCCUAUCGAAGAAAAAGUUUGCGACCUCGAUGUUGAAUUAAAGUAUCUUUAUGGUGCAGCCGCUAUAAGAGAG